rnacentral:rRNA from 1 species
UACGAAGGGGGCUAGCGUUGUUCGGAUUUACUGGGCGUAAAGCGCACGUAGGCGGAUCGUUAAGUCGGGGGUGAAAUCCUGGAGCUCAACUCCAGAACUGCCUUCGAUACUGGCGAUCUUGAGUCCGGAAGAGGUGAGUGGAACUCCUAGUGUAGAGGUGGAAUUCGUAGAUAUUCGCAAGAACACCAGUGGCGAAGGCGGCUCACUGGCCCGGUACUGACGCUGAGGUGCGAAAGCGUGGGGAGCAAACGGG